rnacentral:rRNA from 1 species
AGUGAACGCUGGCGGCAUGCCUAACACAUGCAAGUCGAACGGCAGCACAGGAGGGCUUGCUCUCUGGGUGGCGAGUGGCGCACGUGUGAGGCAUACAUCUGAAUCUACCUUUUCGCGGGGGUUACCGCAGGGAAACUUACGCUAAUACCGCAUACGUCCUUCGGCUGAAAGCACGGGACCGUCAGGCGUUUUUGGGGUAGCUGAGCCGUUGUCGGAUUAGCUAGUUGGCGAGGUAAAGGCCCACCAAGGCGACGAUCCGUAGCUGGUCUGAGAGGAUGAUCAGCCACACUGGAACUGAGACACGGUCCAGACUCCUACGGGAGGCAGCAGUAGGGAAUAUUGGGCAAUGGGCGAAAGCCUGACCCAGCCAUACCGCGUGGGUGAUGAAGGCCUUCGGAUCGUAAAGCCCUUUUGUUGGGAAAGAAAAGCUGUCGGUUAAUACCCGCUUGUCCUGACGGUACCCAAAGAAAAAGCAACGGCUAACUUCGUG